rnacentral:rRNA from 1 species
CAGGCCUAACACAUGCAAGUCGAACGGAGUAGCAAUACUUAGUGGCAAACGGGUGCGUAACGCGUAAGCAACCUGCCCCAAACUGGGGGAUAGCCUUGCGAAAGCGAGGGUAAACCCGCACGGUCCUUACUCAUCACCUGGUGGGUUAGGUAAACAUUUAUGGGUUUGGGAGGGGCUUGCGUCUGAUUAGCUAGUUGGGGGGGUAAGGGCCCACCAAGGCGAUGAUCAGUAGGGGUUCUGAGAGGAUUGGCCCCCACAUGGGUACUGAGAUACGGACCCAACUCCUACGGGAGGCAGCAGUAGGGAAUAUUGGGCAAUGGGCGAGAGCCUGACCCAGCCAUGCCGCGUGAAGGAUGAAGGCGCUCAGCGUUGUAAACUUCUUUUAUCGAUGAAGAACGUACUCUAUGCGUAGGGUAGUGACGGUAAUCGAGGAAUCAGCACCGGCUAACUCCGUGCCAGCAGCCGCGGUAAU